rnacentral:rRNA from 1 species
GACGAACGCUGGCGGCGUGCUUAACACAUGCAAGUCGAACGGAAAGGCCCUGCUUUUGUGGGGUGCUCGAGUGGCGAACGGGUGAGUAACACGUGAGUAACCUGCCCUUGACUUUGGGAUAACUUCAGGAAACUGGGGCUAAUAUCGGAUAGGAGCUCCUGCUGCAUGGUGGGGGUUGGAAAGUUUCGGCGGUUGGGGAUGGACUCGCGGCUUAUCAGCUUGUUGGUGGGGUAGUGGCUUACCAAGGCUUUGACGGGUAGCCGGCCUGAGAGGGUGACCGGCCACAUUGGGACUGAGAUACGGCCCAGACUGCUACGGGAGGCAGCAGUGGGGAAUAUGGCACAAUGGGCGGAAGCCUGAUGCAGCAACGCCGCGUGCGGGAUGACGGCCUUCGGGUUGUAAACCGCUUUCGCCUGUGACGAAGCGUGAGUGACGGUAAUGGGUAAAGAAGCACCGGCUAACUACGUG